rnacentral:lncRNA from 1 species
AAACUCGAGCGAGAUAUGGAAUCAGGUUCUUGGCAUGGACACUUGCGCCGAUACAAUCGUAGGCAAUGCUCUUCAGCGAGGAAUAUCUGGAGGACAGAAAAGAAGACUCACAGCAGGUCAGCAUCACCAAUAUCCAAAAACUUUAAUAUUAACCAUGAACAAUCACUUACAGGAGAAGUGCUGGCUGGUCCCGCAAGAAUUUUGUUCAUGGAUGAGAUUUCUACGGGACUGGACAGCUCCACCACGUACCGAAUUAUCAGUUUCCUGCAGCAAACCGUGAAAGCUUUGAGCAAAACGAUGCUGAUCUCGCUGCUGCAACCACCCCCAGAGGUUUUCGAGCUGUUUGACGAUCUUAUACUUCUUGCGGAAGGACAUGUAGUAUACCAUGGAACUCGAGAAGGUGUUCUACAGUUUCUUGAGGCCCAAGGCUUCAAAUGUCCUGCAAGAAAAGGAGUAGCAGAUUAUUUACAAGAGGUCAGUAGUAUACAACACAUUCAUGUUCCUCUAAAGUCUUGGGAAAUGCAGGUAGUGUCAAGAAAAGAUCAAAAAGGUUAUUGGUGCGGUGAUAAAGAAGCUUACCGGUUUGUAUCGGGAAAAGAUUUUGCUGCUGCUUUUCAACGAUACCGGGCUGAUGAAUUCACGCUCAAGGACUUGAAGAAAGUUUAUCCUGCAGGGAAAAAGCAACCAAGGAUGAGUUCUUGGAAGCUGUUUCAGGCCUGCUGCUCAAGAGAAAUCAUACUGAUAAAACGUAAUCUCUACGUUCAUGUGACUAGCAACGUAAUUCAGGUGAGACUCACCUUUUUAAUAAAAAAGAAACCAACACCAUUAUUUUUUAAAGGGCUCGAUUAUAGCGGUGAUUGUCUCGACCAUAUUCCUGCGAACAACAAUGCAUCAUGAGACCGUCCAAGAUGCAAACAAAUUUAUGGGUGUUCUGUUCUACAUGAUCAUGAAUAUCAUGUACCGUGGAUUACCUGAGAUGACACUCACAAUCACGAGACUUCAAGCCUUUUACAAGCAACGAGAUUCGCAGUUUUAUCCCGCUUGGUCUUGGGCAUUGCCAACGAUAUUUUUCAGGAUCCCGAUGAGUUUCAUGGACGUGGCAAUCUGGACCUGCAUUACAUACUGGGGAGUUGGGUUUGCUCCCGAGUUUACCAGGUAAGUCAGUUUCCUAUGGUCCUAAAGUGCCGGAUAAAGAGACUACUCACAGAUUUUUCAAGCACUUUGUGCUACUGUUCUUGGUGAACCAAGCUUCGUUCGCCAUGUUUCGGUGCAUUGGAGCCAUCGCUCGAAGUCCAACAAUUACGAGUACGUUCGGUUUCUUCUUCUUCAUAACGACGGUGGCAAAUGGAGGCUAUUUGAAAUCAAGAGGUACUUCCUGCAAGAAAACUAAAGGUUAGUAUUUAAGAAACGACUCUCCAGAAAACAUCCAACCAUGGUGGCUAU